CAAGGCAUGUUGGUCUGGCAUCUGUUUUCUUCAUCAUCUGUCCACAGGCACCUGAAACACUCACCAUGCCUGUGGGUGCUGAGACUAAAGGCGUGUGACGUCCCUGCCUGAUGCCCUUCUGAGGUCUGCACCAGACACAUCCUUUGGUUUCACCACCAUGAAAAGUAAAUCCAAGGAAUCUGCCUCAGAAAGCGACUGCCUGGCUGGUGAUGGACUCAACUCGGACUAGUAAGCUCUAAUGGGAUU